ACAUCGCGCACCCCUUUCACUCGCGCGUUGACUAGUGUGCAAUUCGGAAAGAUAGACAAGCUGCGCCUACCCGAGUACAAACCCGGUGGAGACCCGGUGGAACACAUGACAGCUUUAAACAUCGGGAUGGCGCGGGCUCGACUCUCCGAAGAAGAAAGGGACGCAGGCUACUGCCAACUGUUCGUCGAAACUCUCCACGAGCAAGCCCUAACCUGGUUCUCCCAGUUAGAGGAAAACUCCAUCGGAAACUUCCGUGACUUGUCAGCAGCUUUCCUCAAGACCUACAUUAUGUUCACCAAGCGCAGCGCUACCGCCUCUAGCUUGUGGAACCUUAACCAAACCAAAGAACAGAGCCUCCGCGAUUACAUGGAGAAGUUCAAAGCCGUAGUCUCGAGGAUUGAAAUCCCAGACGAGCUUAGCUUCCAGCAAAUGAGCGAGAAGAUCCAUCAGGUAACCAGCGCGGCCCCGCAAAUCGAGAGCGUGCUCGCCGCAACAUCGCGCACCCCUUUCACUCGCGCGUUGACUAGUGUGCAACUCGGAAAAAUCGAGAAGCUGCGCCUACCCGAGUACAAACCCGGCGGAGACCCGGUGGAACACAUGACUGCUUUCAACAUCGCGAUGGCGCGGGCUCGACUCCCCGAUGAAGAAAGGGACGCAGGCUACUGCCAACUGUUCGUCGAAACUCUCCACGAGCAAGCCCUAACCUGGUUCUCCCAGUUAGAG
rnacentral:lncRNA from 1 species